ACUUAAAUUGAAGAGUUUGAUCAUGGCUCAGAUUGAACGCUGGCGGCAGGCCUAACACAUGCAAGUCGAACGGUAGCACAGAGGAGCUUGCUCCUUGGGUGACGAGUGGCGGACGGGUGAGUAAUGUCUGGGAAACUGCCCGAUGGAGGGGGAUAACU
rnacentral:rRNA from 1 species